rnacentral:rRNA from 1 species
AUGCUCCUCCUGAAGACUAAGCCAUGCAUGCUUGAUUGACGAUCCUUCGAAUCUGCGAACGGCUCCGCACACCAGUUGCAUACCAGAACGUGUCCACCAGCGGGCGCUGGCGUUCGCCCUGGGGUCGCCCACCUCUCGUUAGGUGUGGCCCUUCGCCUGGGGGUCUAAUCCGUCGGUCCGCUGGCACGACUAACCCUGGUAAUUCUGAGGCUAAUACGGAAGAAACUGUACCCUGCCGGACGUUCGACCGGGCAGGCGCCGCGAGGUGCCUGUCUCAGGCAUCCCGACUAGGGGUCUGUACGUGCAAGCACAGGAUAGAUAGGAAUCAGCGUACCAGACAGUCCUCCUCUGUGUGACGUCGUCUCGAGCGGCUCCGUUGCUCUCCAUCACCGUCGAUGAUUCCCGGGAGGUGGGGUCGGUUCAGCUGGAUAUAGAGCGAGUCAUACCGGUGGGGGGGUGCUCGUCUAGUGCGUCUGACCUAUCAACUCCAGAGCAGCGUCACGGACGCGUUAUGGUAGCAACGGGUACAGAGGAUAAGGGUUCGAUCCUGGAGAGUGAGCCUGGGAGAUCGCUCACACUUCUAAGGAAGGCAGCAGGCGCGCAACGUUCCCCAUGGGGUGACCCUUGAGGGCGUUAUGGGACAUAUGAGUGGACCGCCUAUACAGGCGUCCUAUCCAAAUGG